rnacentral:rRNA from 1 species
CCUACGGGUGGCAGCAGUGAGGAAUAUUGGUCAAUGGCCGGAAGGCUGAACCAGCCAUGCCGCGUGAAGGUCAGUGCCCUAUGGGCGUUAAACUUCUUUUGUGCGGGAGCAAUAAUGGUCACGUGUGGCCAGACGAGAGUACCGUACGAAUAAGCAUCGGCUAACUCCGUGCCAGCAGCCGCGGUCAUAAGGGGGAUGAAAGCGUUAUCCGGAUUUAUGGGGUUUAAAGGGUGCGUAGGCGGAUUUUUAAGUCAGCGGUAAAAGGUCCGGGCUCAACCCGGGCCGGCAGUUGAAACUGGGGAGCGUGAGUGGGCGAGAAGUAUGCGGAAUGCGUGGUGUAGCGUUGAAAUGCAUAGAUAUCACGCAGAACUCCGAUUGCGAAGGCAGCAUACCGGCGCCCGACUGACGCUGAGGCACGAAAGCGUGGGGAUCGAACAGGAGUAGAGACCCGGGUAGUC